rnacentral:rRNA from 1 species
GUGUCAGCAGCCGCGGUAAUACGUAGGGGGCGAGCGUUGUCCGGAAUUACUGGGCGUAAAGGGCGUGUAGGCGGCCUGGCAAGUCGGUUGUGAAAUCCCUCGGCUCAACCGGGGAAUGGCAGUCGAAACUGUUGGGCUUGAGUGCAGGAGAGGAGGGUGGAAUUCCUGGUGUAGCGGUGAAAUGCGUAGAUAUCAGGAGGAACACCGGUGGCGAAGGCGACCUUCUGGCCUGUUACUGACGCUGAGGCGCGAAAGCCAGGGGAGCAAACAGGAUUAGAUACCCUGGUAGUCCUGGCUGUAAACGCUGGGUACUAGGUGUAGGGGGUUUAGAUACCUUCUGUGCCGUAGUUAACGCAUUAAGUACCCCGCCUGGGGAGUACGGUCGCAAGGCUGAAACUCAAAUGAAUUGACGG